GCUGCUGGCAUUCAAAGAGAUCGUUACCGAGAAUGGUGAUAGGUACUAAAAUGUGCUGGGUCUGCGGCAUUUUCCAUUAUGAAAGUUAAGUCAAAAAGAUUUUGUUUCGUUACGAGACUGUAUGGUUGCUGAAUGUAAAAUUUGUACAUGUUUAUUUACAGGAAAUCUAGCCUGUAAUUUCAAAUCUGCCAAAUCACCUUAUCAGUUAUCACGUGGCCUGAAACUGAUGUCGUUGCUUGCUACUUGUACCGGUUGUAUGUAUCAACCCGUGAAGAAACACUUGACAGCAAAACAUCUGAGUAUGAGCUGCAGCCAGUUGGUGGAAGGUGUGACAAGUCAGCUGUUGUAUUCAGUUUGUGAGGCAUCCCAUGCAAAAACCAGAAAUGAUUCCCAAAAAGGUGAAGGUGUGGUUCCACUAGGUGGCGGAGUGUCUGUUGGUGAGUGACGAAGCCGCCAUUUGCUUUUGAGACAUACCCGAAUGUGUUGCUGCCUAAUGACGGUGUUCUUCGCUUUUACAUGAAAAAAUGUGCCAUUCGACUAAGCUGAAUCGAAAGUGAACAAUUCUAAAGCAAUUUUAGCCUUUCUCCACGUGAUCGCUGCCGUGUGAUGAAGAUGCGUUUCUGAGAGGAUCUCUACUAUACUGCAAGACAAAAACGUGAUGAAACCAGGAAAUUUGAAAUGCAUCUGAGUAUGAGCUGCAGCCAGUUGGUGGAAGUUGUGAAUAUGUUAGCUGUUGCAAACAGUUUGUGAGGCAUCUCGUGCAGAAACCCAAAAUGAUAAGGUAACUAUGUUCAUUUAUUUCUCUUUAAGAAAGCUUUAGAUUAAGUAUUGGGAUACCAGAGAGUAGAUUUCGUUGCUUCAGUGUUGUAACAUUCAGUGAAGUCUGUGAACGUGUGGUUUUACAUUAUUUGAUUUUCAUCCUUUGCAUUUUUUUUUUUUUUUCACAAAUUGGAAGUUAAAAGAAAAUUUUCACAGAGUGAUCUUUGUUCAUCUUCAUGAUAUCUUUUUCUAUAGUAAUCUAAAUUUGAAGUAUAUCAUUGGCAUUGCCUUAACUACAGUACAUUGUAACCAUUUAUGAUACAUUUGCAAGAUAAAGUCAAAUAUCAUUUGCAUAAAUUUUUUCUGUUUAGAGAUGUAUUUUUACUUAUCUAUUUUAAUUUUGUUACACGCACGUCGGAGAUCUCGCCUUUCUCAACGUGCGGUGCCGUGUCAACAAGAUGUCUCUUUGAUGAGGUCUACUAUAUUGCAAAAGAAACAUGUGAAGAAAACAGGAAAUCUGAAAUGGAUUCCAUGGUCCGUUUGAUGUUUGAGCUGUUUGUGGUGUUGCUGUUUGGUGUGAAGUGGGUUUGCAGUCAUUUUCAACUUGAGAGAUGCGCUGAAAUGGAGCUUCGUCAGACUUGCAGUUCAACAUCAUACUUCAAUGUGUUAUUUCUCUAUGUUUGUGUCCGUGCAGUGUUGAGCUGUUGGGCAAAACGAUCAAUGUUGUCUGAUGGCUGUCAGGCAUAUUUAUCUGCUGCAUUUUGUCAAUAUGUCGUCUCUUGCUACCUGUACGUUGAGGUAGUGCUUGAUGAGAACAGUAUCAUUUAAUUUUUCAGUCGUUAUUGCAGCCCAAGCUGGUGAAAGAUCUUUUUGCAUCAAGUAAAUCUGACUGUUUUUUUGUGUGUUGUUGGAGUGUUACGAAAGUUGCGUCAUUAUUGUGUUGAAUUGUCAUUGUGACUGCAGUUCACCGUUUAUAAUUUAGGAAGGGAAAAAAACAGAAUUAUGGGGAA
rnacentral:lncRNA from 1 species